UUAUUAAGUUAGUAUAUAGGUACAUCUGAUUUCSAYUCAGAAGGGCUUCAGGAGUAGUUUUUCUUUUGGUAAG
rnacentral:tRNA from 1 species